GGGUUGUGAGGUUAAGCGACUAAGCGUACACGGUGGAUGCCCUGGCAGUCAGAGGCGAUGAAGGGCGUGCUAAUCUGCGAUAAGCGCCGGUAAGGUGAUAUGAACCGUUAUAACCGGCGAUACCCGAAUGGGGAAACCCAGUGUGAUUCGUCACACUAUCAUUACGUGAAUACAUAGCGUAAUGAAGCGAACCGGGGGAACUGAAACAUCUAAGUACCCCGAGGAAAAGAAAUCAACCGAGAUUCCCCCAGUAGCGGCGAGCGAACGGGGAGGAGCCCAGAGCCUGAAUCAGCAUGUGUGUUAGUGGAAGCGUCUGGAAAGGCGCGCGAUACAGGGUGACAGCCCCGUACACAAAAGCGCAUGUGUUGUGAGCUCGAUGAGUAGGGCGGGACACGUGGUAUCCUGUCUGAAUAUGGGGGGACCAUCCUCCAAGGCUAAAUACUCCUGACUGACCGAUAGUGAACCAGUACCGUGAGGGAAAGGCGAAAAGAACCCCGGCGAGGGGAGUGAAAAAGAACCUGAAACCGUGUACGUACAAGCAGUGGGAGCACAGGUUUACCUGUGUGACUGCGUACCUUUUGUAUAAUGGGUCAGCGACUUAUAUUCUGUAGCAAGGUUAACCG
rnacentral:rRNA from 1 species